rnacentral:rRNA from 1 species
ACGCACGCUGGCGGCGUGCUUAACACAUGCAAGUCGAACGGAAAGGCCCUGCUUUUGUGGGGUGCUCGAGUGGCGAACGGGUGAGUAACACGUGAGUAACCUGCCCUUGACUUUGGGAUAACUUCAGGAAACUGGGGCUAAUACCGGAUAGGAGCUCCUGCUGCAUGGUGGGGGUUGGAAAGUUUCGGCGGUUGGGGAUGGACUCGCGGCUUAUCAGCUUGUUGGUGGGGUAGUGGCUUACCAAGGCUUUGACGGGUAGCCGGCCUGAGAGGGUGACCGGCCACAUUGGGACUGAGAUACGGCCCAGACUCCUACGGGAGGCAGCAGUGGGGAAUAUUGCACAAUGGGCGGAAGCCUGAUGCAGCAACGCCGCGUGCGGGAUGACGGCCUUCGGGUUGUAAACCGCUUUCGCCUAUGACGAAGCGUGAGUGACGGUAAUGGGUAAAGAAGCACCGGCUAACUACGUG